GACGAACGCUAGCGGCGUGCUUAACACAUGCAAGUCGAACGGUGAAGCGCCUUCCUUUUUGGUGGGUGUGGAUGAGUGGCGAACGGGUUAGCAACACGUUAGCAACCUUCUCCCUUCUUCUGGAUAACCGCAUGAAAGUGCUGCUAAUACGGGAUAUUCUGAGUCUGUUGGAUGAUGGGUCUGAGACAGUUUUUGUGUCGGUUGUGGAUGGGUCCGCGGUGGAUUAGCUUGUUGGUGGGGUAAUGGCCUACCAAGGCGGCGAUGCGUAGCCGACCUGAGAGGAGGAUGGGCGGUAACAGAGGGAAUGAGCCGCCGAGACGACUCCGACAGGAAGCAGCAGUGAAGAAUACUGCACAGGGGGAAGAAGGCUGAUGCAGCGACGCGGCAGGGAGGAUGGACGCCUUCGCGUUGUGAACCUCUAUCGCGAGUGAAGAAAGGUUGCAUCGUUUGUGCAUGGGUUGACGGUACCUAAAUAAGAAGCGCCGGCUAACUACGUG
rnacentral:rRNA from 1 species